AUUGAACGCUGGCGGCAGGCCUAACACAUGCAAGUCGAGCGGAUGAAGGGAGCUUGCUCCUGGAUUCAGCGGCGGACGGGUGAGUAAUGCCUAGGAAUCUGCCUGGUAGUGGGGGAUAACGUCCGGAAACGGGCGCUAAUACCGCAUACGUCCUGAGGGAGAAAGUGGGGGGUCUUCGGACCUCACGCUAUCAGAUGAGCCUAGGUCGGAUUAGCUAGUUGGCGGGGUAAAGGCCUACCAAGGAGACGAUCCGUAACUGGUCUGAGAGGAUGAUCAGUCACACUGGAACUGAGACACGGUCCAGACUCCUACGGGAGGCAGCAGUGGGGAAUAUUGGACAAUGGGCGAAAGCCUGAUCCAGCCAUGCCGCGUGUGUGAAGAAGGUCUUCGGAUUGUAAAGCACUUUAAGUUGGGAGGAAGGGCAGUAAGUUAAUACCUUGCUGUUUUGACGUUACCAACAGAAUAAGCACCGGCUAACUUCGUG
rnacentral:rRNA from 1 species